UGAGGAAUCUUGCGCAAUGGGGGAAACCCUGACGCAGCAACGCCGCGUGAGUGAGGAAGGUCUUCGGGUCGUAAAGCUCUGUCAGGCGGGAAGAAAUGGAUGAAGGUGAACAGCCGCCAUGCUUGACGGUACCGCCAGAGGAAGCACCGGCUAACUCCGUGCCAGCAGCCGCGGUAAUACGGGGGGUGCAAGCGUUGUUCGGAAUCAUUGGGCGUAAAGAGCGUGUAGGCGGCUUGGUAAGUCAGAUGUGAAAGCCCUGGGCUCAACCCGGGAAGUGCAUUUGAAACUGCCAGGCUCGAGUAGGGGAGAGGGAAGUGGAAUUCCUGGUGUAGAGGUGAAAUUCGUAGAUAUCAGGAGGAACACCGGUGGCGAAGGCGACUUCCUGGCCCUAUACUGACGCUGAGACGCGAGAGCGUGGGUAGCAAAC
rnacentral:rRNA from 1 species